rnacentral:piRNA from 1 species
UGCGUUCAAAUGUACUGGCCUAAGUUGCUU